rnacentral:lncRNA from 1 species
ACUGGUUGAAUGUUCCUAGAAGGUCCUAUACCAGUCAAGCGCCGUCCUUUUGCCUCUUAAUGCGCAUGCUUGAGCCCACUCACCCAAAUCCUGAGCUCUUAUCCGAAAGCUGCUGAUCACCAGCUUCAGGUGUUUUCUGUCUGUUGGGAGCCGGCCUUUCCCUGGCACCGGCUGUGACCAAUUAUUAUUUUAGAGAGACAGUGUAACAACCACCUGACCAUCUCACCUGAUGGUUGCUGGGGGGCGUUUUUCCACCCUGCUCAUGUGUGCCUGACUACCUACUGUAACAAGAGGAGCCCUGCCCUGAAGACAGCGCAAUACAGGGAAGAAGGGAUCGCUUCAGACCACGAGGGCCUCACUGCAAGACUCCUGACAAGCUGAUCUGAUUUAUCUUUCUAUGUAUCUGAUGAAUGGUUUAUCCAGGGACUGGCAAAAGGAGAAAAACAAGAUGCAGAGGAAUGAGACUGAGAGUACCACAGUGUGAACAGUUUCCCCAAAGUGCUUCAUUUUGGCUCCAGGCUGGAGUGCACCUCAUAGCUCGAUGUGUGGUCAUGGCUCACUGCAGCCUCAAAAUCCCGGGCUCAAGGGAAUCCUCCCACCUCAGCCUCCUGAGUAUCUGGGACUACAGAUUACCCAGAGCUCCUAGGGAAACUGAGCCCGCACCUCGCGC